GUGAGACCAGCAAAGAACCACUCACCUGAGCCCAGCCCAGAUUGCAGAACUGUGAGCAAAUACAUGGUUGUUAUUCAAGUAAAGCUCACUAAAGCUUUCAAUGACAAGUGGGCAUAGUCCUUAUGGCCACUUCUUGGGAUGGUUUGUUAUCCUGCAGUAGAGAACUGAGACAGAGGAAAGAGAAUUCACAGUGACUGACCCCCGCUGUGCUCCGGACCCUAUCGGGGUGCUGUGCGUGUGCUGGCUCAUCUGCUCCUCACAACCACCUGGGCUGUGGUCCCUCCUUACGGGAGAGGCUACUACAGUUCUGUGGUGAGGGAUUGGCCCCACUGCUCCACAGUCACUAAGUGGCAGAGGCAGGAUUUCAACCUGAGUCCGACUGAUUCCACGACCCACAUAAUAUCCCUACAAUGAAACAAGGAAGGAUCCCCAGAAGGUGCAGGGACCUCAGAGACUACUAAGUAGGGAUCUGAUGCAGUCUUUCCCAAGUGUCCUCACAAAUCCCACAGAGGAACUGUCAGACAGGGAAAUGAGUCUGGUGAGAAAGAUCCCUAAUGGGCACCGUCACGUCACAGCUCAAUCAUCUUCUCCCAUAAUUCCUAUGAUCCUGGGUGACCUAGAGGUAUCCUACAAGGAGGCUUACUCUGGUUUUCUGAUAGGCAUGACACUAAGAAAAUCUGAUGUGGUUAGCUCCGGGCAGUCACCACUUCUUUAUAUGUGGAUUAUCCCCCAACGAACGUCCGGCAUCUGCGGUCAUCCGGGAAUGCGUCCAGGCAAUGAUCUAGCGCUCAGAAGGAACAAGAGCUAAUUUCAACGUGGGAAGAAUCCUAAGUGACUCCAAAAAUUAUUGACCAGACGCUAAGGACUAAAGUGGAAACCUUUAUUAAUUAGAUAUGCAGAUAAAAAGGCCCAUCUUCAGAUCUGUUGUCAUUAGAGAAUUAUUUUAUACAUGGCCACAGAGCCAUUUUACAAAUGAGGAUUCAGCCUUGCCGAGGUAAACUGCUUAACCAGGAUACAUAGCAGAAUCUGAGGAGUCUCUACCACCUGGACUGAAGACUGACUUGGAUCUCGGGGCCAACAGAACUUUGUUCCAAGUUCCAAGGCCAUCGUUGGAAUCAGUGGGUCAUCAACAGCGCACUAGAGGGCACUGAGCUAAAGGUCCCUGCACAUAUGGAAGCGCACAGGGGCACGGUUUGGGAUUAUUGGGAGAAUGCAUGAGUCAAUGGCUACGGAAAAUGCUGCACACCUACUCUGUGAAGAGGGAAGCGCCAAGAACAACUGCCACUUUCAUUUGGGGUCAGGAUUCUUGAUUCCUGCUGUCUGUUGACGUCUAUAAUCUUGGUGUUAUGCUUACAAGGGAGAGCCUCAAGCAGUAUUAAGUAUAUUAUUUUAAGAAUGAUGUGGCUUCUGGCAUCAUAUUUUGAAAAUCAAAGAUUGUAAUUUUAGGGAUAAUGGAAUACUCAAAAGGGAGUAUUCUGUAAAACUGAGGGCGUAUGGUCAGCAGAGAGAUAUUCUUUACAAAUACUGGACUACGAAUUAGGAGACGACCUCAAGUCCCUCCUCCGUCAGUGAUCUUGAGCCAUUGUGGCAACACAUUCUGGGCCUUGUUCCCCCCCCAUCUGUAAAAUGGGGGUGUUUGACUCAUUGUUUCUUAACUGGGGUGAAUUCUGGAGUCACCUGGGAAGAUCCCCAAAGGCAGAAUUCUGGUUUUGUU
rnacentral:lncRNA from 1 species